rnacentral:rRNA from 1 species
UAGAGUUUGAUCAUGGCUCAGAUUGAACGCUGGCGGCAGGCCUAACACAUGCAAGUCGAACGGUAACAGGAAUCAGCUUGCUGAUUCGCUGACGAGUGGCGGACGGGUGAGUAAUGUCUGGGAAACUGCCUGAUGGAGGGGGAUAACUACUGGAAACGGUAGCUAAUACCGCAUAACGUCGCAAGACCAAAGAGGGGGACCUUCGGGCCUCUUGCCAUCGGAUGUGCCCAGAUGGGAUUAGCUAGUAGGUGGGGUAACGGCUCACCUAGGCGACGAUCCCUAGCUGGUCUGAGAGGAUGACCAGCCACACUGGAACUGAGACACGGUCCAGACUCCUACGGGAGGCAGCAGUGGGGAAUAUUGCACAAUGGGCGCAAGCCUGAUGCAGCCAUGCCGCGUGUAUGAAGAAGGCCUUCGGGUUGUAAAGUACUUUCAGCGGGGAGGAAGGGAGUAAAGUUAAUACCUUUGCUCAUUGACGUUACCCGCAGAAGAAGCACCGGCUAACUCCGUGCCAGCAGCCGCGGUAAUACA